GACGAACGCUGGCGGCGUGCCUAACACAUGCAAGUGGAGCGACGAACCGGGGCUUGCCCCGGGGCAGAGCCGCGAACGGGUGAGUAACACGUGGGUGACCUGCCCCGAUGACUGGGACAACCCGUCGAAAGACGGGCUAAUACCGGAUGUGCCCCUUGGGGGAAAGGAUGCUUCGGCCUCCGCAUCGGGAUGGGCCCGCGGCGCAUUAGCUUGUUGGUGGGGUAAUGGCUUACCAAGGCGACGAUGCGUAGCUGGUCUGAGAGGACGAUCAGCCACACUGGGACUGAGACACGGCCCAGACUCCUACGGGAGGCAGCAGUGGGGAAUCUUGCACAAUGCGCGAAAGCGUGAUGCAGCAACGCCGCGUGCGGGAAGAAGGCCUUAGGGUUGUAAACCGCUUUCAGUUGGGACGAGGCUUCGAUCGGGAAUAGCGGUUUGGAGUGACGGUACCUUCAGAAGAAGCGCCGGCUAACUACGUG
rnacentral:rRNA from 1 species